AUUGGACGCUGGCGGCAUGCCUUACACAUGCAAGUCGAACGGCAGCACGGGAGCUUGCUCCUGGUGGCGAGUGGCGAACGGGUGAGUAAUACAUCGGAACGUACCCAGUAGUGGGGGAUAACGCACCGAAAGGUGCGCUAAUACCGCAUACGACCUAAGGGUGAAAGCGGGGGACCGCAAGGCCUCGCGCUAUUGGAGCGGCCGAUGUCUGAUUAGCUAGUUGGCGGGGUAAAGGCCCACCAAGGCGACGAUCAGUAGCUGGUCUGAGAGGACGGUCGGCCCAAUUGGGCGUGGGACACGGCCCGGACCCCUACGGGAGGCAGCAGUGGGAAAUUUUGGCAAAUGGGGGCAACCCUGACCCAGCAUUGCCGCGUGUGCGAAGAAGGCCUUCGGGUUGUAAAGCACUUUUGUCAGGGAAGAAAUCUUUCAGGCUAAUACCCUUGGAAGGAUGACGGUACCUGAAGAAUAAGCACCGGCUAACUCCGUGCCAGCCGCCGCCGUAA
rnacentral:rRNA from 1 species